rnacentral:lncRNA from 1 species
UUGAAUGUUCUAUUACUGUUCCUCCCACCUUUUCUUCAUUUAUUUUAUUUUUACAAAACAAGCAUUAAAACCAUUAAAAAAUUUGUUUACGUUUAGUCUUCUGUUUUUUUAUUAAAUAGUAUAUAUUGGUGUAUUUGCUUUCCCAAUUCAUAAUCCAUUGGAAAACCCAACAACCAGGCGGCUAGGGUUUAUUUCUUGAUUCCUCCAUUAUUUAAUUAGUAGUCCAACAGACUAUCUUGUUUUAGUUUUUAUUUUUUUUAAUUUUAA